rnacentral:rRNA from 1 species
GUCGCCUCCUAAAAGGUAACGGAGGCGCUCAAAGGUUCCCUCAGAAUGGUUGGAAAUCAUUCAUAGAGUGUAAAGGCAUAAGGGAGCUUGACUGCGAGACCUACAAGUCGAGCAGGGUCGAAAGACGGACUUAGUGAUCCGGUGGUUCCGCAUGGAAGGGCCAUCGCUCAACGGAUAAAAGCUACCCCGGGGAUAACAGGCUUAUCUCCCCCAAGAGUUCACAUCGACGGGGAGGUUUGGCACCUCGAUGUCGGCUCAUCGCAUCCUGGGGCUGUAGUCGGUCCCAAGGGUUGGGCUGUUCGCCCAUUAAAGCGGUACGCGAGCUGGGUUCAGAACGUCGUGAGACAGUUCGGUCCCUAUCCGUCGUGGGCGUAGGAAAUUUGAGAGGAGCUGUCCUUAGUACGAGAGGACCGGGAUGGACAUACCUCUGGUGUACCAGUUGUCGUGCCAACGGCAUAGCUGGGUAGCUAUGUGUGGACGGGAUAAGUGCUGAAAGCAUCUAAGCAUGAAGCCCCCCUCAAGAUGAGAUUUCCCAACUUCGGUUAUAAGAUCCCUCAAAGAUGAUGAGGUUAAUAGGUUCGAGGUGGA